rnacentral:lncRNA from 1 species
UCUUCUUCGUCUCUGCGUCGCCUACAUCCUUGUAGCUUCUGAUCGUCCAUGCACUGAACGGAGAAGAAAACCCGACGAUGAGAAGCCCGAGUCUUUACCGCCAACCUCUGCCAUUUCCGGCGAUUACGGCCACCGUUUGGGCCACCAGUGUCUAGGAGACGUAUUGUGAAGCCUUCUAGGCUGUAGCACAAGGAACCCUCGAUUCAUCCCCUUUCCAUUCCCGGCAGUGCGUUGGGCUUGGUUGCAGAAGACUU